CAGUAGCCGCGGGAAUACGUAGGUGGCAAGCGUUGUCCGGAAUUAUUGGGCGUAAAGGGCUCGCAGGCGGUUUCUUAAGUCUGAUGUGAAAGCCCCCGGCUCAACCGGGGAGGGUCAUUGGAAACUGGGAAACUUGAGUGCAGAAGAGGAGAGUGGAAUUCCACGUGUAGCGGUGAAAUGCGUAGAGAUGUGGAGGAACACCAGUGGCGAAGGCGACUCUCUGGUCUGUAACUGACGCUGAGGAGCGAAAGCGUGGGGAGCGAACAGGAUUAGAUACCCCGGUAGUCCCUGUCUCUUAUAU
rnacentral:rRNA from 1 species